UACAGAGGGGGCAAGCGUUGUUCGGAAUUACUGGGCGUAAAGGGCGCGUAGGCGGCCCGCUAAGUCGAACGUGAAAUCCCCGAGCUCAACUCGGGAACUGCGUCCGAUACUGGCGGGCUUGAAUCCGGGAGAGGGAUGCGGAAUUCCAGGUGUAGCGGUGAAAUGCGUAGAUAUCUGGAGGAACACCGGUGGCGAAGGCGGAUCUCUGGGCCAUUACUGACGCUGAGGAGCGAAAGCGUGGGGAGCGAACAGG
rnacentral:rRNA from 1 species